rnacentral:rRNA from 1 species
GACGAACCGUGCGAACGUUAUUCGGAAUCACUGGGCUUAAAGGGCGCGUAGGCGGGCCGCAUAGUCAGGGGUGAAAGCCUCCAGCUCAACUGGAGAAGUGCCUCUGAUACUGGCGGCCUCGAGGGGUGCAGGGGCGUGCGGAACUUAGGGUGGAGCGGUGAAAUGCGUAGAUAUCGAGAGGAACACCUGCGGCGAAGGCGGGUUGCUGGGCUGACACUGACGCUGAGGCGCGAAAGCUAGGGGAGCGAACGGG